AUCUGUUGUUUGGCUGUUUACUCAUUCACUCCAGUGUUCCUUGUUCCAGGCCCUGUUCUGGGUCCUGGGGAUGCGGAGAUGCAAAACAAACAUCUUGCCGGCAUGAAGCUGGUGUCCUGCUAGGGGAGAGACAGUCAACAAACACACAAGUCCGAUAUGAAGUCUGUCAGGCCGACACAGAUCGUUGCAAAUCUCUAGAAAACCAGAUCCGGGACUGGAGAGAAAAAAGAGGAAGACACUGACGUCAGGGAGAGAAGAAAGUGGAAGCCGAGACUUCUCAGGGCUUGUCCUGCAGAGGGCGGGGCGCCGCUCCUCGCCUCAGCGAACCUGCUUUAGGAACCAGCUAAGUGGAGCCUCCAAAGUUCGGAAGGAAUGAAGCCUGAGUGCCUCCGGGGGUUUCUUCCUACCCCCCAACAGUAUACGCCUGGGAGGGGGAGUGGGGACAACCCUUGUUGGAAAUACCCCAGUGCCCUGAGGGAUGAUGGCAACCUCAUCGUUGAUGGAGAACAAACGUCUGCCCCAGGAGUCCUGGGCUAGCUGGGG
rnacentral:lncRNA from 1 species